AAGUCGUAACAAGGUUUCCGUAGGUGAACCUGCGGAAGGAUCAUUACCGAGUGCGGGUUCGAACGAGCCCAACCUCCCACCCGUGUUUACCGUUACCGCGUUGCCUCGGCGGGCCCACUGUGGCCUAGCCCGGUCGCCGGGGGGCAUUGCCCCCGGGCCCGCGUCCGCCGAGGCACCCUGGAACUCUUGUCUGAAUAGUGAGUCUGAGUAAAUGAUACAAUCAUUAAAACUUUCAACAACGGAUCUCUUGGUUCCG
rnacentral:misc_RNA from 1 species